GGGGCUGUAGCUCAGAGGCAGAGCGCUUGCCUAGCAUGCAUGAAGCACUGGGUUUGAUCCUCAGCACCA
rnacentral:tRNA from 1 species